rnacentral:lncRNA from 1 species
CGUUCUGCAAUUUCCUUUGGGAACUGAUCAGUCAUGCCUAUUUUCAUGCUAGCGAGCCUUUUGCCCAGACUUUUAACCAUUAUUUUAUCCUUAAAGAAUGCAAAUUUUGCAACGAUUGGGCUUUGAAAUAUGUUUCCUCGCUGUCUGAAAGGAUUUACACGUUUGAGUUUGAUUUUGUAUCGCCUGUGAUCUGUAGCACUUUAACCAGGAAAUCUUUCACCACACUCUCUGGAUCUUCACCCUCAGUCUCUUUAAUAUUGACGUAUCAAUCUUUUCAGCUGGUUUUCAGGUCAAAGAGACUCAGCACACCCAGCAGUGCAAAGAUUCCUCAAUCUUUGCGUAGUCUGGGGUGAUGAGUCAGAUUGGCUCAGGAGGACCAGCCAGCAAAGUGCGAAGAUUUCUCCAUCUUCUCAGCUGGUGCUGAGGACAAACAGACCCUAGUGCAAAGGGAAUCUUUGUUUACAGUUGUUUUGUGCAAUGAAGCAUUUAACUCUAUAGUAGUCAUAGAUUGAUAUUUGGAUUGCAGUUUAUUAAAUUAAUAUGAUGGUCUGAUGGACUAUUGAUACUCAAACUGUCCUGAACUUGUCUGGAAAAGUCUAUUGUGUUUCGCUAAUUUGAAAGCAAAUUCAGUUUGAAAGCAUACUCAAUGCUGUACAUAUUUUAGUGUUGAGGGUACUAUAAUCAAACACACUCCUUUUGAUAUUAAUGCCAGUCAUUUUAUUUUUUCUUGUCAGAUUUCAGUUGCUGCAGCUGAGUCAAAGACUCUGAACCCUCAGGAGGAUGAGCCAGCAAAGCGCAACUGUGAAAAAAACAGAAUGAUUUCUCUGUUUUUGCUGCAGUUAGAGGAAAGAUUCAAGACACUUAGACAGACCAGGCAGCAAAGGUCAAAAGGACCUGGACAUUGACAUGGGCUGGUCAGAGACGAGCAGUGAAGGUGUGGCCAAGGUCCCCCCCCCCCCCAGCCCAGCAGGCCAAAGUGAGUAAUAAAAGAGAGAUUGUCCAAAAGAAAGAUGGGAAUGACAAAGUUGCGGAGUUUAAGACAGAUGCAGAGCUCAUUAUGGAAACACACAGUGCAUUCGGAAAGUAUUCAGACCCCUUGACAUUUUCCACAUUUUGUUAAGUUACAGCCCGGUCUAGUCAACCUAGAUUAGGCCUACAUUUUUAUGUUUUUAUUAGCCUACUAUUAGGCCUAUUAUAGUUCCCGCGCAUCAAACACCUCCCAUUUCCAACAAACAAACAAUAUGCCCAUUUGCUUGGAAUACAGUUGAUCGAUAUUUUAGAAGUUGUGCUCACAGUUUGAAAUUUACAUGAAGAUACUCACACCAUCCCCCAGUCAAGUUCAAAAUGGAUAAAUACCAACCAUUGUGGGAAAAUUGGCACAUGCAAAGUUUAGUCUUUUUUUGUGCCCACAGCAUCUUCGAUAAAUUAGGCCCCUUGUUUUUUCAGGGGCAGUCUGCCCAAUUUUAUGUUCAAAAGGGCCAGGGUGACACUGAGUAGGAUAUCUAUAUUUAAAGGAAUGACAAACCAAUGUGCCACCUACAUAUUGUUUAUCUUCUGUUUGCACAAAGAGACUACCUCCCACAUCACGGAUAUAGGGCCAAAUUUGAACAAAUAAACCAAUAUUGUGUGCAAUGUGCUGUAGACAAACAGUUUGUCCUCUGUAUACAUGACCUACCUUGUUGUCAUGUGUUCUGUUUAACUUCCCUUCUUACCAUGCAUAAGCAUGUCUAAACAUGUCAAUAAAGGAAGAGAAAGACGUACAAGCCAGGUUGAUACUGUAUGUGGGAAGAUCUCAUUGAAUAAAGGCUGUGUGUUUCCUUGUGUGUGUGUGAGUGUGUGCGUGCGCGUGUGCGUGCAUGUGUCCGUGUGCAUGUGUGAGCUUGUGGCACCGGAAGGCAGCUUCCUGCAGUGCAAUGUAAGAGCAGGGGGUUGAUGAGCUUAAAUCAUGCCUCUAUUCAAUCACUCAACCACUGUAGUGCGUUGACCACCAGUGCUAUGCUAAAGUUGGUGUGCUGAAUUGUUAACUCAAGUGAAUAAGUAACAUGGGAUGUUCACUUGUUCCAUUACUUACUUUGUUUUGUUUCUACUUAAAUGACCCUGAUGUAUGGGGAUAGAUCACAUUGACCUGUCCCUCUCCACAAUUGCACAGCAUUUCCAAUCAAUUUAAUAAGUAUUCGUCAUCUAACACAUUACUCUUUCUCAACAUUUAUGAUAUCUACAGUAAACAACCACAUUCAGCAUCUGCAUGAAAAACUCCAAACAAUACAACAACACCAUCAAUUCACUUUUUUUGGUCAUAUACACUUAAUUCGGAAAGUAUUCAGAUCCUUCAACUUUUUCCACAUUUUGUUGUGUUACAGCCUUAUUCUAAAAUAUAUUAAAUACCCAAUAAUGACAAAGAAAAAUCUGUUUUUCAGAAUUGUUUUAAAAUGUAUAAAAAAAAACAGGAAAUGUCAAAUUUACAUUGGUAUUCAGACCCCUUACUUAAUACUUUGUUGAAGCACCUUUGGCAGCAAUUACAACCUCGAGUCUUCUUGGGUAUGACGCUACAAGCUUUGCACACCUGUUUUGGGGAGUUUCUCCCAUUCUUCUCUGCAGAUCUUCUCCAGCUCUGUCAGGUUAGAUGGGGAUCGUCACUGCACAGCUAUUUUCAGGUCUCUCCAGAGAUGCUCGAUUAGGUUCAAGUUCGGGCUCUGGCUGGGCCACUCAAGGACAUUCAGAGACGUGUCCUGAAACCACUCCUGCGUUAUCUUGGCUGUGUUCUUAGGGUCAUUGUCCUGUUGGAAGGUGAACCUUCGCCCCAGUCUGAAGUCCUGAGCUCUCUGGAGCAGGUUUUCAUCAAGGAUCUCUCUGUACUCUCUGUGAUCCAUUCAUCUUUUUCUCGAUCCUGACUAGUCUCCCAGUCCCUGCCGCUGAAAAACUUCCCCCACAACAUGAUGCUGCCACCACCAUGCUUCACCAGACAUGACGCUUGGCAUUCAGGACAAACAGUUCAAUCCUGGUUUUAUCAGACCAUAGAAUCUUGUUUCUCAUGGUCUGAGAGUCCUUUGGGUGCUUUUUGGCAAACUCCAAGCGGGCUGUCAUGUGCCUUUUACUGAGGAGUGGCUUCAGUCUGGCCACUUUAAAAUAAAGGCCUAAAUGGUGGAGUGGUGCAGAGAUUGUUGUCCUUCUGAAAGGUUCUCCCAUUUCCACAGAGGAACUAUAGAGCUCUGUCAGAGGGACCACAAGGUUCUUGGUCACCUCUUGACUAAGGCCCUUCUCCCCCGAUUGCUCAGUUUGGCCAGGGGGCCAGCUCUAGGAAGAGUCUUGGUUGUUCCAAUCAUUUCUUCCAUUUAAGAAUGAUGGAGGCCACUGCGUUCUCGGGGUCCUUCAAUGCUGCAUAAAUGUUUUGGUAAGGCAAAGUGACAUGGACAAAAACACAAAACAGUGCCUAUAGAAAGUCGACACCCCCUUGAACUUUUUUCACAUUUUGAAGUAUCAGUGCCUCAGAGUUUCAUGCAUUUAAAUAACGGUUUUCUCCCACUUAUCUACAUACCAUUCUCCACACUUUAAAAAUACAAAACAGUUUGGAGGGAGAGCCUGAUCUCGGCAUGGUCUUGGUGGUGCCAUAGACCUUCCAUUUCUUAAUAAUCAUCUUGACCGUGCACCAAGGGAUAUUUUGAAAUCUCAUUUGGUGCUCAUGGUUGAGGGGAGUGUAGAAUGUUCAUAGGGGGAGCAGCAGGGGGGGAACCACUGCCCACUGCCGCUAUCAUCCAGAUGGCGAGGUCAGUAGAGUUGCAUCAAAGCUGGGACUGAGAGACUGAAAAACAGCUUCUAUCUCAAGGCCAUCAGACUGCUAAACAGCCAUCACUAGCACAUCAGAGGCGGCUGCCUAUAGCCAUAGAUUAGGAAUCACUGGCCACUUUUAGAAAUGGAUCACUAGCCACUUUAAUUUUGUUUCCAUAUCUAGCAUUACUCAUCUCAUAUGUGUAAACUGCACACCACACAAUUCUACGGUAUCUUAGUCACUUUUAAAUUGUGUUUACAUAUUGCAUCACCCAUCUCAUAUAUACAUACUGUAUUGUAUUCUAUACUACACCACUGACUGUUAAACAGCCAUCUCCAGCUCAUCAGAGGCUGCUGCCUGUGGACAUAGAUUAGGAAUCACUGGUCACUUUAAGGAAAUGAAACACUAGCCACUUUAAUAUUGUCUCCAAAUCUUGCAUUACUCAUCUCAUAUGUGUAAACUGUACUCUAUACUAUCUUAGUCACUUUAAUUGUGUGUAAAUAUUGCAUCACCCAUCUCAUAUGUAUAUACUGUAUUCUGUACUAUGCCACUGUAUCUUAGUCCAAUGCCGCUCUGACAUAUAUGUAUAUAUUCUUAAUCCAUUCCUUACUUAGAUUUACGUGUAUUUUGGGUAUAUGUUGUGAAACUGUUAGAUAUUACUUGUUAGAUAUUACUGUACUGUCGGAGCUAGAAGCACAAGCAUUUUGCUACAACCGCAAUAACAUCUGAUAAACACGUGUAUGUGACCAAUACAUUUUAUUUUAUUUGAAAAGACAACACGAUAUACAGAAAAUAAGGCACUUAUAGUUAUGCACACAUGUCCAAAGUUAUUAUUUGUAAGAAAAACAACAAUGAAGGCAAUGCAGGCACCAACCAGAAAAUGUGCCAGGGGGAAAAGGUUUGUGCAAGGCCUAUUUUGACUAUAGAUGCACAAAUGUAUGCGUACUUGAUUUGAGGAAACACUGGAGAAGUGCUUGGGCUCUCCUCAAAGAUAGAAGUUUGUCCAGUUCAGUAAAGUCUCAAACAUAAAUUGUCCACAACAUUGAAAUGGGCUACUUCUUACGUGAAUUAAUGAGGAGGCAGAACACACCAGAGAUAAAAUGGAGCAUAAUUUUGUUUGAUUAAAUCAAUUUUUAUAUUCAAAUGUAGGAACUGGGCACAGAAAUGCCCUUAUCCAGAUGGUGUGACAAAGGCAUUUCCUAACAGACCUGCUAACUUUUUGUUGUUGUUACUUUCUACGGUUGGAACCAACAUGCAGUACUUCCAGCAGGAGAGAGGCAAGAACCAUUUGUCCACCAGCCCAGGAAAAAGUUCCCAGUCCUAUGUUAUGUGCAAUGUAAUUGCAUUGCUGGACAUUUCUAACUAAAUAUAUGUGUACUGUUUAAAAAAUUACAAAUGAAAGGAAAUGUAUGGCUUUAAUAUGUCUUUGACUUUAUAGUAAGAACAGCGUCAUAUGACACAAGGCAUUUAUGUAUGUGUUAUAAAUGACCAAAGGGGUCUGACUUUAUUAAAGAAUGUACAGCGUCAUGCGCUAUAGUCUUUCUGGAUGUGUUCUGAAUGACCAAAGGUGUCUCACUCACUAUAUUAUAAAGUGUCAAUAAAUAGGUUACUGUAGGGUGUGAGAGGUAUUUCAAUGGGUUGAUGGUGUAAUGGGAAAUGUUUAUUGUAUGUGUCCACAUAACUGUGAUUGUGACUAACCUUGUCAAACUGUGUGAAACUGUCCUGUUCUCGGAAGUAUCACCCCGUGUUGCAAACCAGCUUGCACCUGCGUCCUUGUAUAGAUCCGCCCAAGAACAGGAGACUAUAAAGAUAUGUGCCUAUCACCCAAUGCUUCGGAACUUAGACUGUCUACACUGCGCUGUUUAAGUCUGUUUCUCUCUGAGCUCAGAAAUAAACAAUCUUAGUUUGACUUGGACUCCAGCAAAUCCUUAUUUG